UGGGGAAUAUUGCACAAUGGGCGCAAGCCUGAUGCAGCCAUGCCGCGUGUGUGAAGAAGGCCUUCGGGUUGUAAAGCACUUUCAGCGAGGAGGAAGGUGGUGAGCUUAAUACGCUCAUCAAUUGACGUUACUCGCAGAAGAAGCACCGGCUAACUCCGUGCCAGCAGCCGCGGUAAUACGGAGGGUGCAAGCGUUAAUCGGAAUUACUGGGCGUAAAGCGCACGCAGGCGGUUUGUUAAGUCAGAUGUGAAAUCCCCGGGCUCAACCUGGGAACUGCAUUUGAAACUGGCAAGCUAGAGUCUCGUAGAGGGGGGUAGAAUUCCAGGUGUAGCGGUGAAAUGCGUAGAGAUCUGGAGGAAUACCGGUGGCGAAGGCGGCCCCCUGGACGAAGACUGACGCUCAGGUGCGAAAAGCGUGGGGAGCAAACAGGAUUAGAUACCCCUGGUAGUCCAGCGCUGUAAAACGAUGUCGAUUUUGGAGGUUGUGCCCUUGAGGCGUGGCUU
rnacentral:rRNA from 1 species